rnacentral:rRNA from 1 species
AUUGAACGCUGGCGGCAUGCCUUACACAUGCAAGUCGAACGGUAACAGGUUAAGCUGACGAGUGGCGAACGGGUGAGUAAUAUAUCGGAACGUGCCCAGUAGUGGGGGAUAGCCCGGCGAAAGCCGGAUUAAUACCGCAUACGACCUACGGGUGAAAGGGGGGGAUCGCAAGACCUCUCGCUAUUGGAGCGGCCGAUAUCAGAUUAGGUAGUUGGUGGGGUAAAGGCCUACCAAGCCUGCGAUCUGUAGUUGGUCUGAGAGGACGACCAGCCACACUGGUACUGAGACACGGCCCAGAAUCCUACGGGAGGAAGCAGUGGGGAAUUUUGGACAAUGGGCGCAAGCCUGAUCAAGCAAUGACGAGUGAAGGAAGAAGGCCUUCGGGUUGUAAACUGCUUUUGUCAGGGAAGAAAGCCUCUGGGUUAAUACCUCGGGGGGAUGACGGUACCUGAAGAAUAAGCACCGGCUAACUACGUGCCAGCAGCCGCGGUAAGAC